GAUGAACGCUGGCUACAGGCUUAACACAUGCAAGUCGAGGGGAAACGCCGGGGAAGCUUGCUUCCCCGGGCGUCGACCGGCGCACGGGUGAGUAACGCGUAUCCAACCUGCCUCUGACUGAGGGAUAACCCGUCGAAAGUCGGCCUAAUACCUCAUGGUAUCGUCUGCGGGCAUCCAACGACGAUUAAAGAUUUCAUCGGUCAGGGAUGGGGAUGCGUCUGAUUAGCUUGUUGGCGGGGUAACGGCCCACCAAGGCUACGAUCAGUAGGGGUUCUGAGAGGAAGGUCCCCCACAUUGGAACUGAGACACGGUCCAAACUCCUACGGGAGGCAGCAGUGAGGAAUAUUGGUCAAGGGGCGAGAGCCUGAACCAGUCAAGUAGCGUGCAGGAAGACGGCCCUAUGGGUUGUAAACUGCUUUUAUGCGGGGAUAAAGUGAGGGACGGGUCCCUCAUUGCAGGUACCGCAUGAAUAAGGACCGGCUAAUUCCGUG
rnacentral:rRNA from 1 species